AAUUCCCUCCCCCUCCCCCUGAAAUCCCAACUUUCCUCCCUAAAAUCCCUUAUUUCUCACAUCCAAUAAAGAAAACCAGAAGCUUAUUCAACUCUAGGGAAAAUCAAAAUCAAAGAACCCAGAACCAGAAAACCAAGGAAACGAUGAGAAAAAGAGAAAAAAGGGAUUGGAAAUUGAAAGGUCCCGAGUGGAAGGGUUGUCAAUAGGAGGGCAUGAAACUUGCAUUAUUUUUCCCACUCUUAACCUAGCAUUUGAUAUCGGUCGAUGCCCACAACGUGCCCUUUCUCAAGAUUUUCUUUUUGUUUACUCAAUCCAACUCCAUUGAUUCCUUUACCUUCUUUCAAUCUUAAUCUAAAUUUUCUUUAAUUUAGGGAAAAAAAUUAUUUUUUAUGGCCGAUCAUCAGUUCUGCUUAUUUUACAGUGAAAAGGAAAGGAAGAUUUAGUUUUCACAGAAAAAAGUGUGGAUUCGGUGCAGUUCAGUAGACUAUGAUCGGAUCCACCGCAGGUUCAUGUUCUGUUGUCAUUGGAAUCAAUAGGAGUUCAAUUUGUAAUGCAAUCUGUUGACGAGAGUAAGGAAAAGAAGACGAAUUUGAAACGAUCAAGAUCACUAUCCCUGCACGAUAUGCCCGUGACUGACAGCCCUGCUACGCAAACCCUUGACCAUUACGCAAACCCUUUUAUAAAAAUUAUUUAAUGAAUAAUAUCAAAUGCAAUAGGCUCUAACUGUUUGAUUUUUACCUGGUUUCAAUAUACUGUGUGCGUGGCAAAUUAGAUUUUUACCCCCUUGUCUUGAAUAUGACAAUAUUUUUAAUGAAUUGCAGACUCAUGGACUUGCUGAAUAUAUAGCUCAGGAAGAGAUGGAUAGAAAAACUGGGUUUUGGUGGUCACUUGAUGGCAAAUUCAUUGCAUUUACAGAGGUUGAUUAUUCUGCGAUACCUCUUUUUAGAAUUAUGCACCAAGGUAAAUUGGAUAUUUUAGAACUUUAAUUGAAUUAUUGAAAGUGGCUUAAUUUUUAAUUUUGCAAGUUUUUGUUGAUCAGCAAUUUAUUUAUUUUCUGUGUAGUAUUUUUCUAUAUUUUUUUAUCUUUCAUCAUGCUAUCCCUUGCACCGCAGUUAACAAAUAGCUUCUGGAAUUUGUGAUUUGCCUUAUCUUUUUCGAUCUCAUUUUUUGUCAUUCAUAACUGGAAUUGUUAUAAUACUUCUUAUCUUGUGUGGAAGACUGCAAAGGUCUCAGUCUCUUUAAUUCGUUAUCUUAUUUGAUCAGGUGCUCUCACUUUGCCGAUCCAAUUUCUUUCGAUCAGAUGUUUACAUUUUUUUCUUAAUGUGCUAUUUUCUUCAUGUUGAUUCCUACAAUACUUGUAUAUUAGGCUCUCGCCCCUUAUUUUUUGUUUAUUACUUUUGAAUACAUUCGUCAACCACGUAUAUUUAAUAGAACCAUUUAUCGAUUGACUCAUACAUAUGAAGGGUGACUGUUUUGAAAAGAAAUGAACAUGAAAAUAAUUGCAGGGAUCCUAAACCGAUAAGCUUUGGUAUGAAGAAUAUCGAUAUACUGUCUUUGUUUGGUAUGAAGGAAGUUUUAGUUAGUUGGCCAUUAUUAAGGUCAGAACUAGAGUCAUUGUUUGGCUGCACUUCGAUUUUUGUUAAGUUGAGCUCAAAUUUUAUUAGUUUUUUUGGCUCAUUGAGCUUAUAUUUUCUUUUUAUACAUGCAAAAUGGAACUGGAUUUAAUUGCAGUUAAAAAAUGCGCAAGUUCUGUGCCUGUGCAGCUGAUCUUUUUGUUUAUUUUGUGGCACUAAUUCAUAGAUUAGAAAUCAUGUCUUCUCGGUAAGGGAACGUUGGUUUAGUACUAAUCUUCUCUUCUUUUGUUUGUCUUGUAUCUAUUUAUUAUUUUUUUCUUUUUUGCAUUUGUAUCAUUUUACGUGACAGUGGCUGUCCUAAGGCAUACCACCCAGCCUGUAUCAAAAGGGAUGAGGCAUUCUUUAAAUCCAAGGCAAAAUGGAACCGCGACAUACACGGAUAAAAAAGGUAUCAGGCAGCAGCAGUUGUUGGCAUUUAUCCCAAGACAUCACAAGCACUACAUUUUACCGAGUAAGAAUAGUUGAUAGAGGCCUUCUUUUUUUCCUGGAAGCUAAUUAGUGGGUUGAAGUUUUGUAUGUUUUCUCAUUUCCAUUUCCUUUUUGUCCUGUUUCUUUGCCUCUCUUCUAUUGCAAUUUUUUCUAAGCCAAAUUCUGUCAGCAAGAAGGUACAUUUUAAUCCACAGUUACAGACAGAUCGUAGGCAAAAUUAUCUCCAUGCUAAACCUUGUCUUCAGCCUUCAGGCUUGCUAAGAACAUCCAAGAUGCUUAUGGUGAGGCAGCUAGCAUUGCUGAACAGUCGCAUUAUUUAACACCAAAACCCAUAUUUUACGGGUUUUUCAAAGAAGAAAAAUGCUGAGAAUAGAUGGUCUCUGCAAAAAGAUGGGCUACAAGGACGCCAAGUUACUGAUGCUUUACGGGUAUUAGAUUUAUCCUUUUUCAUCUGUUUCUUGUGUGUUCCUAGCUUUCACUGUAAAAUGGGAUAGCUAAAUUUGGUUUCUGCAUACUCCAAAAUUCCUGAAAAAAGGUUGACAACAUUGGCAAGUAAAAUUUUAGAGAAAGUUCUAUGAAGUUUUUUAUGGAUUCUGUGGCGCAGACCCAUAUUUUUUAUUUUGGCAUAUCAUGUAAUUGUUGUACAAGUAAAGUAAAAAGUAGACUGAUGCAGUUUACUAUGAAGUUUUUAGAGAAAGUUCUAUGAAGUUUUAAUCUAUGCUUGCUUUCCCAUGGAUUUCCAUUCCAACUAGCUUCGAUACGGAUCUGCUGCUUUCAGUUUCAUGCGAUCUCCUCACUGUUAACUUGUAAUUAUCCUUUUUCCACCUUUUGAUGAGUGAUUUUGCUGCUGCUAUUGUUGUUAUUUGGCUCUGAUAGCCAAUGGCGUUGAAGCGGGGACUAUCCAGUGUGGGCGUCCAAAGGAAUAGAAGUUCUGGAUCUCGUUUGCGUAUCAUGAUUCUUUUUUUCUUCUCAAUUCUGAUGCUCAUUGCUUUGAGUUCAUUACAAUUUUGCUGCUUUCAGUUUCACGCUUAUUGCUUUGAGUUCAUUACAAGAUUUCCUUGAUUAAAUAAAUGUAUUAUAUCUUUUAUUACCAAGAUUUACUUGAUUAAGAAAAUGCAUUGUAUGUUUUAUUACCUUGCAUAUGUAUUAUUUAUUUUAGUUUUGAUUCUAAAUUUUUAUUUUUACUUAAGAGUUCUAACUUUUGGAUUUUAAUUGUGUUAUUAAUUUAUUAUUUUAAAUUCUAAAACUAAAUUCAUUAAUUUUAUAUUUAGUUUUAAAGUUAAAAUUUUCAUAGAAAAUUUAAUUUAAAUAAUAUUUUUUAUUUAUCCUUAAAAGUAUAUUUAAAGUUCAAAUUUAGAAAAUAAAACAUAAUAUAAUAUUUAUCAUAAGAAUAAAUAUAAUUUGAUUAAAAUAAAAAUUUUUAAAGGUUAUGCCUUUAGCGGCGUUUUUGCGAGAAGCGCCGCUAAAGGUUAUGGUCUUUAGCGGCGUUUGUGGGAAAAGCGCUGCUAAAGGUCAUGGUCUUUAAUGGCGUUUGUGGGAAAAGCGCUGCUAAAGGUCAUGGUCUUUAGCGGCGUUUGUGAAAAAAGCGCCGCUAAAGGUCAUGGUCUUUAGCGGCGUUUGUGGAAAAGCGCCGCUAAAGGUCUUGGUUUUUAAAGGCGAUUGUAGGAAAAGCGCCGCUAAAGGUCAUGGUCUUUGGCGGCGUUUGUUUCUAAAAACGCCGCUAAAGUUAGCGACGCUGUCAUUAGCGGCGCCCUAAAAAAGCGCCGCUAAAAACCUGUUUUGGUGUAGUGAUUUCUUGUUUCUAUACGUCGAACUUACUAAGCUUCAAUAAGCUUACUUGUGUUAAUUUAUGUUUCUUGUAGACACUUUUGAAGGUUGGACGAUCAGACCAGCACUCAAGUCACACUAUCCAUCCGAUUUCGAAACUAUAAAGAGCCAAGGUUCUCCACCAAACUCAUCACCCACACAUCUAAGGCUUGGUUGUAGCAUAUGAAGGUUCAGCUUGAGAAGAAAGGAAGAGCUUUGAGAAAGAAGUUACUAGAGAUAGUCCUAGCAAAGGGAAAGAGAAGGUGGUGGAUUGAAGACCUUCAAAAAGGCUCUAUCCAUUUUUAUUGCUUUUGGGAAAGAGGGUUGAUCUAGAGAGACAUUGAAGCGUAGCUCAAUCUAGGACAUCACACUAUCAUCGAGACCUACAAGAGUAUGAAGGUUAAGUACUUUUUAGUUGUGGCAUGUACUAGGUGUCUACAUAAGUAAAUAUGUUAAUUUCAUAUUACUUGGUCUUUGUGUUGAAGGUUAUUUAAAUUUAAGCUUAAGAGCCAACAUUUUAUUUCCCUAACUUAUCAUUCUUUUGUUUAACCGAUGAUAUGUAUGAAUACUUUACUUUUAAGGUCAUUGGUUGUGAUUUUCAA